CUAAAUUGAAAUAGCGAAUCUGGAUAUCUCUUGUUCGCGACUUUGGCUCUCUCUCCUUCACUACUCCGCAUCUCCUUCACACAAAGCCAAGAUUCUGAUUCAUGAGCUCUAUGCUUUGUUCUUCGUCUCAGAGCUUCGAUUUUCAAGAUUUCUAGUUCUAUUUCUUGUUUCUUACUCUUCCAAUCGUUCGAAUCGAAGUAGUGAUAUAUAUUUAUUUUUCAUUUUUUUGCAGUUGAAUCAGACCUAGUUUUUAUUCUUUGUUUGAGAUACACAAAAUAAUUUGUUUGUGAUUUGUGCAAGUUUAGAGUUUCUAUUUGCUUUCAAUAUAGGAUUCUGAUUUUGAAUUGCCAUUAGUUAAUUUUUAUCUUUAUGGAUUUGAAAUUUAUAUUUAUUUUGGAUGGCUUUUUUUCUUCUUUAUUUUUUUCCGAAUUAAUCUAGAUAUGAUUUCAAGAUGUAAAUAACGUUCUAAUUAGGUUUUGGUUUUGAUUUGUGCAGGUUGAAGUUUCGUUCUCUGUCCCAUAUUUGCAAUUGUGUGAUUGGUGAGAUUUUUGCUUGAGGACGUUUAUUCUUAUUGGAUUUUCAGUUGAGCUGAGGUAUACACGUUAAGCUUCAAUAAUCAAUUUAUCUUUUGUUUCUAUUUAAUGUUAUUAAUCUCGUAUUUUAUAUCCGAAUUUGGUUCUGUGAUGUGUACUGCUUGUUGCCUCAGAAAAAAGUUUGCUAGUAUCUUAUAUGAGAAUGAUUGAGGAGAAAAGUGUCCUAGUAUCUUUUUGAUGAUUUUGGGUCAAGUUGGGACCUUUGGGGAUUUGAUCGAGGAGAAGGGUUGUUCUUCAUUCAUUGAUUGUUUUGUUUAGUAGUGCAAUUCUUCCACUACCCAUGUCAUUAUUAUAGGCUUUGUUUGUAAUUGUUUUUCAUUUCUUUCUUCUGUUUCUUUUUAAUUUCUAGGGUUUAAUUUAUUUUUAAUUUUUGUUAAGUUCAAUCUUCACACACAUUGAAGAAACUUGUCUUCAAUCUCUAGUUUCUAGUUUAUUUUCCUAUUAUUGGGAGUUUGAUGGGUAUCUGCAGUGCUUGGUUUAUAUGCUUUUGCUAUUAUUAUUGUUUUUCGUUAGAUCAAAGCUCUGGUUAUUGUUAAUUUGUAUGCUUUUGCUUUGGUUUGUUGUCUUGUGCAUGGAGUUUUGUUUUCUAUUUCUUUGGUUGAUUUUGUCUUGGUGACUUGUGCUGUCAUCCAAAGUUGGAAGUCCUAUUUUUGCUAGCAGUUUUAGAGGAUAGAGAUUGACAGUUUUUUAGGUGACCCCUUUCUCAAUAGUUUAGGACUGAGAUUGGCCAACACAUUGACUACAUAUCUUGCAUGUGUUUAUGUUUUAAAUGGUUUUCUAUAGUAAAAUUAGCUUAGUUUAUGAUUGAUUGGCAGCCUUUCGUCUCUCUCAUUCAAUUGGGUCAGCCAUUUGGCACCUGAUGUGAUAGUGGGAAGGAUUGGCUUUGUGUGGUUAAAUGCAAUAAUUCUUUUCUUUUCUUUGUUUGGCUAAUGUGAACUGUGUUCUCACAUCUUCUUACUUUUUUUUCUUUUGCAGGCCCCUUCUUCUGUCCUUUCGUGGCCAUAGGCCGUGCGUAGGCAAAACUAGCAGGCGCUAUGGACGUCCUACAAGAAGCAUUGCUUUAUGUGUUUAGUUCAAUCCAAUAGGAUUUUUUAUGUAACUAGUUAAGCUGUAGUAUGGUCAUUGACUUGAGGACCUGGCCUAGCUAAAUUUGAUGCAUCUAUCUUUCACAAAUGAUGGAUUGAUGAGAUUGACUUCAUUUUGGAAACACCACAAAAUGGUAUAACAUAUUGCGAGCAUUAAAGCCAGAUCGUUCAUGGUUGUGGGCUUCUUAGUUUCAUUUUGAAAUUGUGGAUGUUUAUUUGUAUGUAUUAAUGGUAGAAUUGUGUGCAGUGAACUGAACAACUUUGGC
rnacentral:lncRNA from 1 species